ensembl:misc_RNA Metazoa_SRP Metazoan signal recognition particle RNA
GCUGGGCAUGGUGGCACGUGCCUGUAUUCCCAGCUACUCGGGAGACUGAGGCUGGAGGAUUGCUUGAGUCCAGGAGUUCUGGGCUCUAGUGCACUAUGCCGAUCGGGUGUCUGCACUAAGUUCAGCAUCAAUAUGGUGACCUCCUGGGAGCGGGGGACCACCAGGUUGCCUAAGGAGGGGUGAAGUGGCCCAGGUCGGAAACAGAGCAGGUCAGAACUCCUGUGCUUAUUGGUAGUGGGAUCGUGCCUGUGAACAGCCACUGCACUCCAGCCUGGGCAACAUAGCAAGACUCUGUCUCUU